rnacentral:tRNA from 1 species
GGCGCUGUGGCUUAGCGGUAAAGCGCUUGGCUUCUGAACCGGAGGUUCCGGGUUAGAAUCCUGGUGGGAUUU